rnacentral:rRNA from 1 species
GACGAACGCUGGCGGCGUGCUUAACACAUGCAAGUCGAACGGAAAGGCCCUGCUUUUGUGGGGUGCUCGAGUGGCGAACCGGUGAGUAACACGUGAGUAACCUGCCCUUGACUUUGGGAUAACUUCAGGAAACUGGGGCUAAUACCGGAUAGGAGCUCCUGCUGCAUGGUGGGGGUUGGAAAGGUUCGGCGGUUGGGGAUGGGCUCGCGGCCUAUCAGCUUGUUGGUGGGGUAGUGGCUUACCAAGGCUUUGACGGGUAGCCGGCCUGAGAGGGUGACCGGCCACAUUGGGACUGAGAUACGGCCCAGACUCCUACGGGAGGCAGCAGUGGGGAAUAUUGCACAAUGGGCGGAAGCCUGAUGCAGCAACGCCGCGUGCGGGAUGACGGCCUUCGGGUUGUAAACCGCUUUCGCCUGUGACGAAGCGUGAGUGACGGUAAUGGGUAAAGAAGCACCGGCUAACUACGUG